rnacentral:rRNA from 1 species
GUUGAACGCUGGCGGCGUGCCUAAUACAUGCAAGUCGAGCGAAGCGGGGACGGGUGAGUAACACGUGGAUAACCUCCUCUAAGACUGGGAUAACUUCGGGAAACCGGUGCUAAACCGGCUGCUUAUAGAUGGAUCCGGUCUGCAUUAGCUAGUUGGAAGGGUAACGGCUUACCAAGGCAACGAUGCAUAGCCGACCUGAGAGGAUGAUCGGCCACACUGGAACUGAGACACGGUCCAGACUCCUACGGGAGGCAGCAGUAGGGAAUCUUCCGCAAUGGGCGAAAGCCUGACGGAGCAACGCCGCGUGAAUGAUGAAGGUCUUCGGGUCGUAAAGCUCUGUUAUUGGGGAAGCGGUACCUGAACAGGAAGCCACGGCUAACUACGUGCCAGCAGCCGCGGUAAUAC